UUCUCCCCCUGGAAAUGUGCAAUGGGACAGGAAAAAUGAACAAUCUCAAUGUACAGGAGCCUCUAGCGACAGCGGCCAUAACAUGAUAGCGUGAUAGAAUUUCACGUUCAGAUUGAAGACCAUCACACUUACAUGAAGUGUCGCAGGACAUCAAUGAUUCCUCAGAGGACUUCAUUCCUUCUGAGGGUUCACCAUCAUAGGAUGUACAGCCCUGCAGAUAUUCGCAAUAUGAGGACCCAACAGGAUUUCCGAUUAGACAAUGGACC